GAGACAACUCACAUUUUCCAUUUUCUUUUUUCUUUACUUCACUUGGACCAGACGAGAAUAUCAGCACCAAGCAAGGCGGUGCCAGGUCGCCAUUACCAAAACCCAAAACGGUUUCUUAUUUUUCCCACCAUCGAACUUAACCUUUAAGUUUUCAAAACCACUCUCCCUCCGCCAUUUCUCAUUUUCUCAGUUUUUCUCCAACUUUCUCACAUUUUCUCGGAGGAUUCGGCAGAUUCCAGACGUUCAUUAUACUAUCAGAGAGUUUUAUAUGGCUUUGGUUUCUUGCUGAUUUGGUCAUCAUGCAACGUAAUAUGACCGCUUAACGAGUCAAGAAACUACUUCUUAUUUACCAACUGGUGAAGGAGGGCAUUGACUUGUGGUUCUCCGUCUAUUUUCACACCUGUCUGUUUAUUUCCACGUCGAAUUGGAGCAGCAAACUAGGAUCCUUGUUACAUGAGUGUUGUAUUUGGGAGUUAAUGAUGAUCCAUCACUUAUGGAUGAACUUGGUGCAGUCUUUCAAGAUUAUUUGAAGAUUAUGAGGGAAUAUUACUGACAAAACGAAGCCUGAACUUCCAGUUUUGGUCCUAAAUGGUUGCAGAACAUUGUAGUUGGUUCAGCCAAAUAAUAGACCAGAAAUUAACAGAUUGAAGAUUUAAUUUCAGAAAAGUGAACUAUCCUUCAAUAUUUGCCAAAAAAAUCUGAAAGUUCCAGUCAAAGAACCAGUCUCUCUGAAUGGGCACCUAGUCCUUGUGGACUAGCAUACAGAUAUGGUUCUUUGGAAGUUCUUAAAUGCUAAUCAGCAGUAUUUUUAUUUAAUUUCAAUCACCAUGGCAAUUAACCAUAGAGGUUUUGAUGCAACUGCAUAGUCGGCAGGAUGAAGAAAUGGUACGCUGGGGUUGUAAUUGUAUCCUUCUUUAUGUUGAUUUUUGUAAGAUACAGUGUCAAGACAAAUCCUAUUGGCCAGAAUAACUGGAAAAGUCCUGUAAUAGCCAAUUUGACUAAUCCUCUUGAAUGGGUGCGUUUAACGGAUCCCGAUGCUGUCCAGAGCCCAGCAAAUACUUCCGAUGUGAUUUCAACUGAUGCUAUAAUCUUCAGCCUUUUUGCUCAGAGAAAUUUUUCCAGUGAAGAGCAACAAUCUUUGCAGACAUGGAAUCUUCUGAAGAACUUAAUUGAUCAGGCUCAGGUUUACCAAAUGGAGUGCAGCUAUAAGGAAGCUGCUAGUGCUUGGGGUAACCUUAUGGCUUCAAUUGAAGAGGAAAAUCUUGCUUAUACAAAUGGAAGUUCUGGUAGAGUUGGGAAAGAAAACAAUGUCC